rnacentral:rRNA from 1 species
AUCCUAAACGGUGGAUCACUCGGCUCGUGGAUCGAUGAAGGACGCAGCAAACUGCGCGUCGCAUUGUGAACUGCAGGACACAUGAACAUCGACGCUUC